UGUUUCUCUUCUUUCUUACGGAUAUCCAUGACUGUCUGGGAGUUUGUUCAUGCGGCAGUCCCGAGCGUCCGCCUCGAGGAGAGACGCACAAGUGUCUUCGCGCACCAGUUUACUCAGACAAGGCAUAAUUCAUUACAGUGUCUUACAAAGUCUCGCCCUCCUCUACAGUCCCUCCGGCCCAACCUAGAAGUUACAGUCACACCUCUGCCAUGUUCCCGGACAAGAGGAUCAUUCUGGGCUCAAAGCAGACAGUGACUGAUUACAGCAUUUUUUUCAUUUAAAUAAAAUGAGGUCAAAGAAUAUUGUGGUUUCAUCUUCAUGUUUUCAUUCAUUGAUGUAAAGUACACUGGAGUUAUUGGUCCAGUUAACUGGGAAUAUAAUUUGGGAAGGUCAUACAGUUAUGAUACCUAAUAACCACUAAUUGUGUUAAUGCCAAAUACACCUACUUGUAUGUUUAUUCCAACAAUUAAUCCUUUUAUUGGUAAAGAUAUGUGCAUG